AAGUUUUAUAACUUAAGUUUUUUUGAAACUUGUGCAACACACAUACCUAAAUAACUAUAACAUAGAAGAGAGCAUCAUUCGUGUCAAUGUUUUGUUCCUGUUUACAUUGUCAUUGAUAUUUUUUCAGAAAGCCUGAGGCAUAGCUCAUGAAUUCCUGUCAUUACAUCCUAAAUUAACAUAAUUACUGCUAGAAUAAUUAUCAGUAUGAUAUACGUACACUAUCAUUGUACAGCCCAAGUCUUCAGUAUAUAUAAUUGUUGCAUUCAUUCACUCCUGUGUUCAGUCGUUCAAAAAUAUUUAAACAUCAACAAAUGAACUUUAAUAAGGACAAGAAAACACUAGAAAA
rnacentral:lncRNA from 1 species